AUUGAACGCUGGCGGCAGGCCUAACACAUGCAAGUCGAACGAGUGGCGGACGGGUGAGUAAUGUCUGGGAAACUGCCUGAUGGAGGGGGAUAACUACUGGAAACGUUAGCUAAUACCGCAUACCAUCGGAUUUGCCCAGAUGGGAUUAGCUAUUAGGUGGGGUAAAGGCUCACCUAGGCGACUAUCCCUAGCUGGUCUGAGAGGAUGACGAGCCACACUGGAACUGAGACACGGUCCAGACUCCUACGGGAGGCAGCAGUGGGGAAUAUUGCACAAUGGGUGCAAACCUGAUGCAGCCAUGCCGCGUGUAUGAAGAAGGCCUUCGGGUUGUAAAGUACUGUCAGCGGGGGGGCGUUACCCGCAGAAGAAGCACCGGCUAACUCCGUGCCAGCAGCCGCGGUAAUAC
rnacentral:rRNA from 1 species